GUGGCAAUUCUAGAGCUAAUACAUGCAAUUAAGUCCUGCCCGGCGACGGAACGGACGCUUUUAUUAGAUCAAAACCAAACGGUCUUUAGGCCGUUUGUCUUGGUGACUCUGAAUAAAGUAAGGCAGAUCGCAAGGUCACGAAUCGGUGACGCAUCUUUCGAAUGUCUGACUUAUCAACUAUCGAUGGUAGGUUAUAUGCCUACCAUGGUUKUAACGGGUAACGGGGAAUCAGGGUUCGAUUCCGGAGAGGGAGCCUGAGAAACGGCUACCACAUCCAAGGAAGGCAGCAGGCGCGCAAAUUACCCACUCCCGGCACAGGGAGGUAGUGACGAAAAAUAACGAUACGGGACUCAUCCGAGGCCCCGUAAUCGGAAUGACUACACUUUAAAUCCUUUAAGAAGUAUCCAUUGGAGGGCAAGUCUGGUGCCAGCAGCCGCGGUAAUUCCAGCUCCAAUAGCGUAUAUUAAAGUUGCUGCGGUUAAAAAGCUCGUAGUCUGAACUGUGUCCCACGCUGCCGGUUCACCGCCCGUCGGUGUAACUGGCAUGUACGUGCGGACGUCCUGCCGGUGGCCCGAGCCGGCGCGGGUCUUGCAUCCGCGUCCGGGGAAGGUCUAUUUACCCGUCGCGGUGCUCUUAACCGAGUGUCCCGGUGGGCCGGCACGUUUACUUUGAACAAAUUAGAGUGCUUAAAGCAGGCAGCAUCCGCCUGAAUACCAGUGCAUGGAAUAAUGGAAUAGGACCUCGGUUCUAUUUUGUUGGUUUUCGGAAUUUCCGAGGUAAUGAUCAAUAGAGACAGACGUGGGCAUUCGUAUUGCGACGUUAGAGGUGAAAUUCUUGGAUCGUCGCAAGACGGACCGAAGCGAAAGCAUUUGCCAAGCAUGUUCUCAUUGAUCAAGAACGAAAGUUAGAGGUUCGAAGGCGAUCAGAUACCGCCCUAGUUCUAACCAUAAACGAUGCCAGCCAGCAAUCCGCCGAAGUUCCUCCGAUGACUCGGCGGGCGGCUUCCGGGAAACCAAAGCUUUUGGGUUCCGGGGGAAGUAUGGUUGCAAAGCUGAAACUUAAAGGAAUUGACGGAAGGGCACCACCAGGAGUGGAGCCUGCGGCUUAAUUUGACUCAACACGGGAAACCUCACCAGGCCCAGACACUGGGAGGAUUGACAGAUUAAGAGCUCUUUCUUGAUUCAGUGGGUGGUGGUGCAUGGCCGUUCUUAGUUGGUGGAGCGAUUUGUCUGGUUAAUUCC
rnacentral:rRNA from 1 species